CAGUGCAUUGUCCAUGAGCUCUUGUAUUGGCAUCACCUCAACAACAGUUUGCUUUGACAGCUGAUGUCCUCACUGUAGUGUGGGAGGUGGGGGUGGGGAAGUUUUAUGAAGAGAGAAAAAGGCAGGUUACAGAGGAUAACCUGUUUCUCCUCCCAUGAGCAAUUCUUUCUGGUUGUUGUCAAUAAAUCACAAAUCACUCAGUGCUGUCAUCUAAUUGGGAUGAAGCUGAGAGGAGUUGCUCCAGAACAGAAACAUCUUUGUCCACGAACAAGUUAAGGACAAUUUCUUUUGGCUGUGCUCGUAACCUGCAUGGGUUGAGGCAGCUGCUGAGUCAUCACAGUUUGUGGCUGGGGCCUCCUCUCAAGUGUCAGUAUUUUCACAAUCAGACAACGCUGCUGAGUUGUGACGUCUGUCCCUUGGCCUUGGAAGGACAGGCAAUUCUUUCAUGUGUGAUAGAAAAAGAUACAAGAGAGACUAUCUUUUCUUCUUGCAGAGACUGUUGAAGCCAGUAGCAGGUGGAAUAUGGAACUGCCAGUCUUUGGGUGUGUCCUCCUGGGAAGCUGCCAAACUGGUUUUCUGGAUGCUGAGAAGAGUAAAGUAGCUUCGGUUCUUAAGGGAGACGCUGAGGAGAACAAAUGUGAAAUGGAAAAGUCUACCAUGAAAUUUACUGUUGGAAGUCUAGUUUCCUUCAUAUAUGGUGUUAAUCUUGCCUGAAUAACUCAUAGUAGGAUAAAGGUACAGCUAAGAUAUUGAGUCCUCAAGACUGAUUGGAAGAGGAUAGACCAACCCUGUGGGAAAAGUGGAGCUUUCUUAAAGGACAGUAGAGAAUUGCCUUGUAGAAAUUAGAAUGUUCCUGUAGAAGAGUGCCUAUGGACAGAGACAAGGGAACAAGUGUAAAGUCUGGGAGCUGAUGACUUCAAUUUCUAUCCUAUAAAGAAUACAACUUUUAGGUGUGGUGGUUCAUACCUGUAAUCCCAGAACUCAGGAGGCUGAGGCAGAAGGAUCACCAUGAGUUCAAGGCCAGCCCAAAGUACAUAACGAGACCCUGUCUCAAAACAAAACAAAACAAAAACCAAACUUCUGAAGAUUUGUUUUCUUGAACUAUGAGAAAAUUGUAUUUAGCAUGUACUUUAAAAUUCUUUAAUAUGUUCUGAUUCCUUUAGUUUAUGCCAGUCAGCUAAUAAAAUUGGAUGAAGCUGCACAUCUUGAGUAGAGUUUUAACAGAAGAACUGAGGCCACAAAGACAUGAUAUUUACCCCAAAUUCAAUUCAUUCCCCCCUUCUCUGUUGGUUCCCACCCUGCAGAGUCCCUUAAAAGCAUAGCAUCAAGAUACCAGGAGGCUGCAGUCUUGAUUUCCAGGCUAAGAUCAAUAAUAAAUAAAGUGUUCCAUGACAGAGUAAAGAUUUAGCAAGAAUAAGAGACAUUGGGAAGAACAUGUAACCUGAAAGAGCAAGGAACAUUCUAUUUGCCCAGAUAUACUUAAAGGGAGUUGUCCCUUAGGGGAAAAGGAAAAGUUAAUAUCUGGGUGUGAUAUUGUGAAAUAUAUAUUUGGCCUUUAUCCAGGCUCCUAGCAUGUAACUUCUGAAACCCUUGGACUCUCCAAACUUAUGUGACUUUUUAUAUGCUAAUGAGUUGACCCAUGGCUGGCCAUCCCUAGGUAGUGUCAGGAUGGGGACUGGUCAUUGAAAAAUCAAGGCAUGAUUAGAGCUUUGGGAGAGAAGAUGAGCUAAAGGUUGAGGUGAUCACAAUGGAUAAUGAUUCAAUCAGUUACACAUACAUAAUGAAGCUUCCGUAAAUCCCAGAAGAUUGGAUUCUAGGAGCUUCUGAAUGCAUGGACGUUCCUGGGGACUAUGUGCCCAGAGAGGACAUUCCUUUGCCAUGCCUUCCCCUAAGCAUCUCUUCUGUAUCUUUUUUAACUUUCUUUAUAAUGAACUGGUAAAUGUAAGUACAGUGGUUCCCUGAGUUCUGUGCAGUGCUCCAACAAAGUCAUGGAAAUUCCAGGAGGGCAUUGUGGAACACUGAUUUAUAGUCAGCAGGUCUAUAGCUGUAUAGAUCUCUAUAGGUCUAUAGGUUAUAGCCAGCACAGGUAAAACAACCUGGGGCUUAUGACUGGCAUUGGAAGUGUGGUAGGGGGCAGUAUUGUAGUACUGAGUUCUCAAGGUGGGAUCUGAUGAUAUUUUAAGGUAGAUAGUCAGUAUUGAAUUGAAUUAGAGGACAUCCAGCUGGUGUCUGGUGCAUAAUAGAGAACUGAUUGACUGGCUGGUGGUGGAGAGAAAUUCCCACCUGCUUGUGGUGACUAGAGGUCACAGAAGUAUUUUGUGUUGUGAGAGUAUAGGAGAACUGAAUUUUCCCCAUGUUCUACAG